UUUCAGAUUCGUAAUAAAUUUAUUUUACGUGCUUCAGGACUUCCUUCUUUUAUUUUUCAUGCUUCAAGAUCGCUGCAUAUUAUUUUUCGUGCUUCAGGAUCGGUACCCCUACCCCCUCUAUAUGCGCUUAGUCUGUUUUAUACUGUAGCCUAUAAACAUGUCUUUUCUUGGCGGAAGUAACCAUACUUUUUCGAGAAUGCGUUUUUUC